rnacentral:rRNA from 1 species
GAUUCAACUUGGUGACGAGUGGCGAACUGGUGAGUAACACGUGGGUAACCUGCCCCGAAGCGGGGGAUAACAUUUGGAAACAGGUGCUAAUACCGCAUAACAACCAAAACCACCUGGUUUUGGUUUGAAAGACGGCUUCGGCUGUCACUUUGGGAUGGACCCGCGGCGUAUUAGCUGGUUGGUGAGGUAACGGCUCACCAAGGCGAUGAUACGUAGCCGACCUGAGAGGGUAAUCGGCCACAUUGGGACUGAGACACGGCCCAAACUCCUACGGGAGGCAGCAGUAGGGAAUCUUCCACAAUGGACGCAAGUCUGAUGGAGCAACGCCGCGUGAGUGAUGAAGGGUUUCGGCUCGUAAAACUCUGUUGUUGGAGAAGAACGGGUGUCAGAGUAACUGUUGACAUCGUGACGGUAUCCAACCAGAAAGCCACGGCUAACUACGUGCCAGCAGCCGCGGUAAUACGUAGGUGGCAAGCGUUGUCCGGAUUUAUUGGGCGUAAAGCGAGCGCAGGCGGUUUUUUAGGUCUGAUGUGAAAGCCUUCGGCUUAACCGGAGAAGUGCAUCGGAAACCGGGAGACUUGAGUGCAGAAGAGGACAGUGGAACUCCAUGUGUAGCGGUGAAAUGCGUACAUAUAUGGAAGAACACCAGUGGCGAAGGCGGCUGUCUGGUCUGCAACUGACGCUGAGGCUCGAAAGCAUGUGUAGCGAACAGGAUUAGAUACCCUGGUAGUCCAUGCCGUAAACGAUGAGUGCUAAGUGUUGGAGGGUUUCCGCCCUUCAGUGCUGCAGCUAACGCAUUAAGCACUCCGCCCUGGGAGUACGACAGCAAGGUUGAGACUCAGACGAAUUGACGGGAGGCCCGCACAAGCGGUGGACCAUGUGGUUUAAUUCGAUGCUACGCGAAGAACCUUACCAGGUCU